GUUAUGUCAUAACUCGUAUUUUAUAAUUUUUGAAAUAUAUGCAUAAAUAUAUCAGUUGAUAACAUUUGCUCUCGACUUUAUUUUGACGUUUCAUUCUUGGAGACGCCAUUAAUUUAAUAGGUUGAAUGCUUUAUUUCCGGAAAUAUUUUAUCAUUUAAAAACCAAUGUUAUCAUGUCAGAAAUAUCAAUGGUGUUGUGAAUGGGCUAUACCAAUUGAAGGGGUCCGUGCAAAAACGAGACAACUCCAAUUUUGGCGAAAAUAGGUUUUUGGCCGUUUCCAAUUAAGAAAAAUUUGACGAGUAUAUCUGUGUAAGAACGAGACAAAUCCGACCACCGGUAUAGGAAAUAUAAUGGAACUGGAGCUGUCUGGUUUUUUUUUUUCCAUUGAAAAACCAGAUAGCUCCGGAGUUAUCUGGUUUUUGCGCCGAAUGUUGUCUACACUAAAAUCAGUUGUCUUAAAGUAAGAAUAAAUAAUAUUAAUAAUUUUUUGAUAAAAAAAAAAAUUGAAAUAAUAAAUACAAAGUUCGGGUCAAAAAACAAGAUAGCUCCAACAAUUUUGGGUUAAUUUUAGCUCACAUCUCAAAUCAAAAACCCUAAUCAAAUCACGUACUACGUCAUCUUUUUCAUCAUGGUCUAAUAUAUAUUAAUUGAUAAUAACAUUAGUUUUACCUUAAACUCAAUAUUUUUAAAAUAGUUGUUUUUGUUUCUUGAAAAGUUUAAAAAAAUGGAGUUGUCUCGUUUUUGCACGGACCCCUUCAAUUACUAUGGAAAUGUCUUUUCAAUUGGACCCAAGACCUUACAAUUUUAUAUCAAGGUGUAAAUUUAAAUAUAAAGCAUUAGUUUAAUAGGUUGAAUGCUUUUUUACUGCAAAUAUUUUAUCUUUUAAAAACCAAUGUUAUCAUGUAAAAUUGGUUUUGAGUAUGACAUAUCAAUUACUAUGGGAAUUUCUUUCCAAUUGGACCCAAGACCUUACAAUUAUAUAUCAAGGUGUAAAUUAUAAGUAUAAAACAUUUAUUUCUUAUAUGACAUUUUUUCAUGUGAAUGUAUAAUAUCAACACUAAGCAAUUUGAAUGAAAAGUGUGUUACAGACCAGUUUCAUUUAUUUUUAAAAAUAUCAGUAAUUAAUGUAUGAAUUUCAUAUUAUUACAUACAAGGAAUCACUUCUUGAUUAUAUCAAUAUCGUUUUUUAUUUUAUUUUAAGCCUAUUUUAAGUUAUUUCCUACAAUGAUUUAACCCAUAUAUAGUGUCUGACAUACAUUACGGAUAUUUUAUCAUAAAGUUUUAGCUAUAACUGACACAGGUAUUUGGCU